UGGAGGACCAAGUGUAACCUGGCCAAUCCCAUGUAGCCAGCUCCCCCUGCUCCUGGCCAGUCAGUGUCUGGCCACCCUUUGCUAAUUUGAGGGUGUAAAGGAGGGGAGCUACCUAUUCUCAGGUGUGAAGUGGCUUUUUGCUUGUGUCCUCUCACUGUGAAGGAGGUACCCAACCCACUUCUUCAUGUGUGCGAGGAGCAAGGCACAUCCUUGGAAGAUACAAGUUCUAAUGUAUGCUGUAAAGCGGAGAUGAUGAAGGAAUGCCGUAAGAGGAUCAGACUUCUUGAAGGGGGAUUUGGAAGAGCAUCUGCAAGAGCAGCACCUCUUAAGUGAUAACUGCUCAUCUCAGCCCUUCCAGAUGAAGCCUGUGUCAUGAAGCUGGAGACAAUCGGAUGCCCAUUUGAGUGGAUCUUCAGCCUGGUCCAUGCACCUCUCUAGCAACACAUGUCCUGCAUGUCCUGAAGCCACUGUUCAGCCCUGCACACAGAGGAAGAGCCUAUUCCUGAGCCUUGCUGUGGGAUCUUCACUUCACGCAGUUGUUAGAGGUCAGAAGUAAAAUAGAGCUGCGUUCACCAAAAGACUUGAAAAUAUAUACAGGCCUGCUGGGACCUCCCCUAAUCUUUCCCGCAUCAUUGGC
rnacentral:lncRNA from 1 species